rnacentral:rRNA from 1 species
GCUAGUUGUGCGCACCCUAGCCAUGUUGGGAGCGCAGCGUACAGCUCCGUAACACGUGGUCAAUCUGCCCUUAGGACAGGGAUAACCCCCGGGAAACUGGGGCUAAUACCUGAUAGGCGGAAAAGCCUGGAAUGGCUUUCCACCUAAAGGGCUUUAGGAACAUGCUCCUAAAGUUGCCUAAGGAUGAGACUGCGUCCGAUCAGGUUGUUGGUGGGGUAGUGGCCUACCAAGCCUAUAACCGGUACGGGCCCUGAGAGGGGGAGCCCGGAGAUGGGAACUGAGACAAGGUCCCAGACCCUACGGGGUGCAGCAGUUACGAAACCUUUACAAUGCACGAAAGUGUGAUAGGGUUAUCCCGAGUGCCAUCCGAUGAGGAUAGCUUUUCCCCGGUGUAAGGAGCCGGGGGAAUAAAGGGGGGGCAAGACUGGUGUCAGCCGCCGCGGUAAUACCAGCCCCCUGAGUGGUAGGGACGAUUAUUUGGCCUAAAGCGUUCGUAGCCGGCUUAGCAAAUCUUUCGUUAAAUCCGGCGACUUAAUCGUCGAGCUGCGAGAGAUACUACUAGGCUUGAGGACGGGAGAGGUCGACGGUAUUCCGGGGGUAGGGGCAAAAUCCUAUAAUCCUCGAAGGACCACCAGUGGCGAAGGCGGUCGACUAGAACGUGCCUGACGGUGAUGGACGAAAGCUGGGGGAGCAAACCGGAUUAGACACCCGGGUAGUCCCAGCCGUAAACGAUGCGGGCUAGGUGUUG